CUUAUCUCACUCUCCCUCACACCAUCAUUUUCGUCCCCCCAUCACUCUCCCUCUCUCUCUCAAUUUAUUCCUCCAUUACCACCAUUAAAGUGAGCUUCAAGCUCCACAAAAUCAUUUCAAGAGAGAAAUCCUUCUCUAUCCUUAAGCUAAACACCUUCUAGCUUCAUGAAUUCAAGAAACCCUUGAGUAUUAGUCUUGAGUUAGAGAGAGAAAGCUUAGUUCUUUGUUUGAUCUUGGGCCCGAGCGAGACGAAGAAGUGAGUCGCCUGUUUUCUUUUCAAGCUUGAGCGAAGGACUUCAGGCUAAGCGAUGGAGCGAGAUUGGACUGGUGCUGGCGGGGGAUUAUUUUGUUGAUGAAUUUUCUUUGUUGCUUUCCUUUUCUUGAUAGAGUCCUAACGAUGAUACACUUUGCUUUCCUUUUGAAUGUUGAUAAAACCUUAAUGAUGAGAUACAUUGUUUUCUUUUUAAUCAAGCAAUUUACUCGCGAUUAUAUGUCUUCAUACAUAUUCUCC